CCCUUCAAGAUUAAGUUGAAAUGAAACCCGAACAAAUGCGUGUGAACGCACCGUCGCCUUGAGAAGGGGAAACGGUGCGCGUGUUCAACGUGUCCUGCUGCGCAGGCGGUCGACGCGAACAGACGCGGCACAUCGUCAGUCAGCGGCGGUCGUCUUUGCGUCGCCAUCGGUCCGUUGAACGCCGCAAUCCAUAACUAUUGCACCACCGCGUCGACGAACGAAUGUCAGCGAAUCUCUCGCUCCGACGACUUGCACUGUUCACCUCAUCGGAAAGCUGUCCUUCCGAAAACCGCCGUAAGUAUACGUUCUUAACAGGGUUCAACAGAU